CUCCGUAGGGGAACCUGCGGAG
rnacentral:rRNA from 1 species